GGCGUGUACUGCUUGGCUGGGCCUUACUUCUUGGUGAGCCGGCGUGCCCUUUAUUGGUGUGCGUCGGGGAACCAGGACUUUUACCUUGAGAAAAUUAGAGUGUUCAAAGCAGGCCUAUGCCUGAAUACAUUAGCAUGGAAUAAUAGAAUAGGACGUGCGGUUCUAUUUUGUUGGUUUCUAGAGUCGCCGUAAUGAUUAAUAGGGACAGUUGGGGGCAUUGGUAUUGAGUCGCUAGAGGUGAAAUUCUUGGAUUGACUCAAGACCGACUAUUGCGAAAGCAUUUGCCAAGGAUGUUUUCAUUAAUCAAGAACGAAGGUUAGGGGAUCGAAAACGAUCAGAUACCGUUGUAGUCUUAACAGUAAACUAUGCCGACUAGGGAUCGGAUGACCUCAAAAUUGAUGUGUCAUUCGGCACCUUACGAGAAAUCAAAGUCUUUGGGUUUUGGGGGGAGUAUGGUCGCAAGGCUGAAACUUAAAGGAAUUGACGGAAGGGCACCCCCAGGUGUGGAGCCUGCGGCUUAAUUUGACUCAACACGGGGGAAACUCACCAGGUCCAGACAUAACUAGGAUUGACAGAUUUGAUAGCUCUUUCAUGAUUUUAUGGGGUGGUGGUGCAUGGGCCGUUCUUAGUUGGUGGAGUGAUUUGUCUGGUUAAUUCCGAUAACGAACGAGACCUUAACCUCCUAAAUAGCCAGCCCGCCUUCGGCUGGUCUCUGGCUUCUUAGAGGGACUGUCAG
rnacentral:rRNA from 1 species